ACCUAGGGAUAGGGGUAGGACGAUCAAUUGCGCUAACUUCUGUUUAUAAUGCAAUAUUAAUUACUAGGGGAGUCUAGGGAUAGCAAGCCAGUAGUUAAUAUUAGGCUCUUUUCGCCAAGGGAUCGGGUUAAGGGUAGGCUAAGAAAGUCGCAGAACAAUUAAUUAAUCAAACUAAUAUUUAAGAGUAGUAGAUAAGAGAGGGCGGAUUAGAUGAAAUUAUAAACCCCCAACAACAUCCAUUCAUCCAUUGUUUUCUUUUGUCAAUUGAAUCACCUUUAUUUUGCAUGUUAAUAUUUUUGUUCUCAAAUCCAACUUAUUAAUUUUUAUUUUCAAGUCUUAUUAUUUUAAUUCACGUGAACAAGAAAGCUGUUCGAGUCUGUUGGGAAAACGAUACUUGGUCUUACCAUUUAUAUUACUUGUACGAUUUGGUACACUUGCCAAUUUGUCAACAAGUUUUUGGCACCGUUGCCGGGGACUCGAGGUUUAUUU
rnacentral:lncRNA from 1 species